CGGGGUGCAGCAGGCGCGAAAACUUUGCAAUAGGCGAAAGCCUGACAGGGCUAUCCCGAGUGCCAUCCGCUGAGGAAGGCUUUUACCCAGUCUAGAACGCUGGGGGAAUAAGGAGAGGGCAAGUCUGGUGUCAGCCGCCGCGGUAAUACCAGCUCUUCGAGUGGUGUGGAUGUUUAUUGGGCCUAAAGCAUCCGUAGCUGGCUAAGUUAGUCCCUUGUUAAAUCCACCGAAUUAAUCGUUGGAUCGCGGGGGAUACUGCUUGGCUAGGGGACGAGAGAGGCAGACGGUAUUUUCGGGGUAGGGGUGAAAUCCUAUAAUCCCGGGAAGACCACCAGUGGCGAAGGCUGUCUGCUAGAACGCGCCCGACGGUGAGGGAUGAAAGCUGGGGGAGCGAACCGGAUUAGAUACCCGGGUAGUCCCAGCUGUAAACGAUGCAGACUAGGUGUUUGAACGGCCACGUGCCGUUCUAGUGCCGCAGGGAAGCUGUUAAGUCUGCCGCCUGGGGAGUACGAUCGCAAGAUUGAAACUUAAAGGAAUUGGCGGGGGAGCACAAGGGCGAUUCGCG
rnacentral:rRNA from 1 species